UGCUUAAGCUUAGUGCUGCUGCUGAAGUAUCAUUGGAAUAAGCUUUCUAGCUUAUGAUAGACUAACAAAGCAAAUCCAUGUGAUAUAAUUUGCAUGUGUUGAUUUGGAUCAAGUUUUGUUCAGUUUAUGUGUAUAAUAGGCACCAAGAACUGGGUACUAGGGCUUUAUGUUGUGCUUUUUCCUUUACUUUGUUUACUGUUAUCUGCUUGCACCAAAUGUAUGGUGAAAGAAAUGAACUCGGCCAGUUUCUGCAAUUGUUUUUGGCUUAUUCCAGGUUUCUGUGGCUAAUUUGUGUCCUUUCCAACAUUUGCAUGAUAGCAUUGUGCUUUUGAAAGUAAUAUUUUUCUGGUGUUUGCAGUAUGUGAG
rnacentral:misc_RNA from 1 species